CUGCCUAGCACCGGUUAAGGAUGGCGCAAAACUUGCAACUAGGAGCGGCCUACACUCAAUGAUGUGAGUCAGUGCGAGAUGCAGGACUUAUCACAUUUCUUAUGAAGAGAGGGGCUCUAUGCUAGAGAGGGGUUAAAGACUUGAUGCAAAGUAGCUGGACGAGAGGACCCCAUACCCAGAAAUGGAUUCACUUACCAAAGAAGAUCUUUUAACUAAGCUUAGCGAUGCAAAAAGUCUAGGACUUUCAAAGGAUGAAUUUUUCUAUUUGCUAGAUAUCGAAGACAAAAUAACAAAACUCAGGGAAAAAAUUCAAUUCAAGCUCAGUGAGAGUCAAGAUUCUAAUGGAGGCACCACACCUAAACGCCCGGACCUUAUAAAAAAGCUUGUAGAGGCUAAAUUAAGGGGAUUAACUCAUGAGGAGUUUUUUUAUCUUCUUAGUCUUGAAAUCAAAUUUAUGGAAAUUAAAGAAAAGGAAUCUUGUCAGACGCAUAGUGAUAAAGAUGAUUUAUCGAAAGAAUACCAUUCUUUAGCUGCAACAAUGCAUUCAUCUUUAGGAAAUUCUAGCCCAGCAACUCAAGCAAAAUGUAGCACCUCCUCUUCAGCCCCUCCGGUAGAUGCAACAGUGCAAGAGCUCAAAUCUGUGGUCUCCAAGCACAAUGACGACAUCGUGAAGGCCUUGAACUUGACGCAACAGCUGAAGCACAAACAAGAAGAGAUGGAAGCCAGGUUCAAUCACCUAGAGAUGCAUUUGGUUGACUUUAAGAAAAAACUGGAGCAUCAAAACUCCCUCCAUCAGACGGAGUGUGGCGCCCUGCAGCAGAAGAUGAGUCAACUGGUCUACAGCCAGCAGCUCUGCAGCCAGCAGAUCUACAACAGUAGGAUCAGCCGCAACAGGCCUAAAGAUCUACACUGGGACAAAAGUCUCAUUGAAAAUCAUGCUCUCAAACAAUCGGCUGCUGGUGAGCCCACGACGCUGCCUCGGAACAUUCCGGCCUAUCGUGAUGUCAACAUGGAGAAAAUCACUUCGCCCAUCCCGAUGUACCGUGAUGUCAACAUGGAGAAAAUCACUUCGCCCAUCCCGAUGUACCGUGAUGUCAACAUGGAGAAAAUCACUUCGCCCAUUCCGAUGUACCGUGAUGUUAAAAUGGAGAAAAUCAUCUCGCCCAUACUCAAAAUGCCCUUGGACAUUAGAGAUCUAGUUCCAAGCAUUCGGUCCAUUCAUUUUGAUCAAAAAGACCCCAGUCCUGGCUCCAGACCAAUGCUUAUCAACAAAAGGGAAUUAACUCCGUUUGUUUGGCCUAAGACAAAAGCAGCAUUAACUAGCCCAACAAUGAAGAGAAAUAAUUUAACAAGAAACAUUAGAAAUACAUUUUAAGGAAAGUUAGGUUGUAAAUAUUUGCAAAAUGUACUCUCUUAAACAUUUAUUUAUUUCCAAAAAUUAGCUCUACAAUGUUUUAACAAGAAAAUGUUUGAAGAUCCUAAUGUUUCACUCUUUCUGAUGCGUGACACUAUACGAAGCGUCACACUACCCGUGACGUCACACUACCCGUAGCGUCACACUACCCGUGGCGUCACACUACCCGUGGCGUCACACUACCCGUGGCGUCACACUACCCGUGGCGUCACACUACCCGUGGCGUCACACUACCCGUGGCGUCACACUACCCGAGGCGUCACACUACCCGUGGCGUCACCCUACCUCUCACAUCGGGCUCAGAAAACGUGAAGCGAGGUAGAGAAGUGUGAGAGUUAUGUCCCUUGUCGGUUGAACAAGAAAUACAACAUGUCAACUUGUGUCGUUGAAUACAUUAAAACUUUGAAAGCUGACACGUGCGUGUUUGUCAAUAAACAAAGAGUAGUUUAGCCCCUAGUGUUUGUCAAUAAACAGAGUAGUUGGGCCGCUAACUAAACUUCAUGUCAUAUAAUACCUUAUCAAAAGAUAACCGCUGUUGCAAUGGGGUGCUGACUUGUCUGGCUAAAUGUGGUCACGUCACUCAGGCACCUCCUGCACGAGUGGACGGUGGUGAGGACGGUGGUUAUCUCACCAAAACUACUUCAUGCUGCUGAGAUAAGGUGGAGGGGGAUAGUUUAACAGUUUGAGGAUUGGCAAU